rnacentral:rRNA from 1 species
GACGAACGCUGGCGGCGUGCUUAACACAUGCAAGUCGAACGGAAAGGCCCCCACCUUGGUGGGGGUGCUCGAGUGGCGAACGGGUGAGUAACACGUGGGUGAUCUGCCCUGUACUUCGGGAUAAGCUUGGGAAACUGGGUCUAAUACCGGAUAGGACCAUGGUUUAGUGUCUCAUGGUGGAAAAAUUAUUGUUUUGGUGCAGGAUGAGCUCGCGGCCUAUCAGCUUGUUGGUGGGGUAAUGGCCUACCAAGGCGUCGACGGGUAGCCGGCCUGAGAGGGUGGACGGCCACAGUGGGACUGAGAUACGGCCCAGACUGCUACGGGAGGCAGCAGUGGGGAAUAUUGCACAAUGGGCGCAAGCCUGAUGCAGCGACGCCGCGUGGGGGAUGACGGCCUUCGGGUUGUAAACUCCUUUCGUUAGGGACGAAGCCACACCUUUUUUGGGUGUGGUGACGGUACCUUUGUUAAGAAGCACCGGCUAACUACGUG